rfam:Triticum urartu cultivar G1812 contig1209826, whole genome shotgun sequence.
UUACUACUCCCUCCGUUCGGAAUUACUUGUCUCAGAAAUGGAUGUAUCUAAAACUAAAAUACGUCUAGAUACAUCCAUUUCUGCGACAAGUAAUUCCAAACGGAGGUAGUACUAG